ACGAUAUUACUGAAAUAUUUAGUAUAAUUAGUUAAUAUUUAUUUUGUUAGAGUAGGUCUUGUGCUAAAUAGUGAUACUAGAAGCUACAUUUAUAAUAUUUACCUCAGUUAAAAAAUACUGCUGGUAACGUUAAAGCACUGACGGGCUUGUUAAAUACAUUUUGUUCCUGGUUUUAAUGAAUUACGUUACAGUCCUGCUUUAUUUCUUUGUCAUUUUCAAUUAAAUUGCCAAGCACAAUAAGACAGCUGUGUUGUAAGGAGACGAAAUUCGAGACAGGGGUGUUAUUUCAAUGAAGCGCGUGGUCAAAGGAACCGGGUGGAAGACGGUGGAAGGGAAAUUAUAUAUAACCAUGGUUAAUAAAUGGUCAGACACGUCACUGGCUUUAAAAUAUAAACCCCAUUGAUGCAAAAAGAUGCUGCAUGGAAUGACAAUGUGGUUUGGAACAGACUUGGUGAAGAACAUGGAAACAUCUCUUAAUAAAAUGGCCCCAAACAUCAUCAGGAGUGCAAAAGAAGGAAGUAAAAACAUCUCUACGCCAAUCUCAUUGGAGAGGAAACCACAGAAGGUCUGGUGAGGAAUGCUGCACUUAUGUUAUUGCAAGCAUUAUUUCAAGAAAAUCCCAGCUUCCUUUACUGUGUAAAUAGUGAACCCAAAGGUCCCACACCAACCAUAGUGUUCAACGGCUCUCCUGAUCUUUUCAAAUCUGAAUGUAUCAACUUUAUAAUGGACAAUGUGAACUUAAUAUGUGGAAGACAUUGACAUCACAGGCUGUGGAAUGACUGUGUCACAGGUCGGAGAAGCGGACCGCCCCUGUCGCGGAUCACGCUCCUCCUAGUUCCACCUCGAGGAGGUCCCAAAGCACCCCAAUGACCAGACAAACCAGAGGGGGAGUAUUACGGGGCCAGGGACGUUGGAGGGGUUUCCACGUGACUCCAGCUGGAACACCGCUACAGAGCGUAUCUAGGUGGGUUGGGCACACACCGUCGCGGCGGCCCCUGAUGGCAUCCACAAGGGUCCAAGACCCUCCUAAGCUCCUAGCCGUAGCAGAACUACGUAUUUCAGCACCCAAAGGACUAACAACCCAGCCGGCAUCUGCAGCGUAUAUCCAACGCGAUCAAACUUCACUCUGACAAGUAACUUCCUAUACACAACCACGCCGUCCUUUCGCCCGGACCAGCCCCGCACUCUUUCCGCCCGCUACCUAGCGGUCGCCGGAUCAGCAGAGCCUGCGGACUCUUCGGAGGCUGGUCUUCGUUGUGCUGCCC